ACAACCAGCCUACCAUCUAGGUUGGGUUGGGUAGCCAAACAGCUAGAGAGAGGGAGGCCAUGGAGAAAAAAUGGGACACUGACCCCCAAGAAGACACAGCUCCUGUAAUGAGAUUGGGCACAUCCAGGCCAUCUUCUAUUUUACUGUCUGCAUAACACAAUCCAGGAAGUGAAAUUUCAGCAUGUUCACAGAUCCUAAGGACUCAACUAUGGAACCAUGGGGGCUGCCCAUAGAAACUCCAUCCAUGCACAAGAGUGCUGUGCAUCAAGACUAAUUUUAUAGUCAUGAUAAGUUAUCACCUUUUUAUUAACACUAUGUUGCCAUUUGCCCUUGGAAGCAGUCGCAGUGAAUUUGCCCAUCCCUUAGAAGCAAGACUCAAGUCAGUAACACCAAACUGAACUCAAUGAAUUCUCCAUGGCCACAACCUAUGAUUCAAGAAAAUGCUAAACGUCUUUGAUAAAGAGUCAAAAUGUAUCAAUUUAUUAAAUCUCAAUCUUUGCAUCCCAUCUUGUAAUACUGGAAAAUGCAAUGAGAAGUAUGCCUAAAGCAUUUAUCGCAAGGUAAAGCACUUACAGAACAGUUUGAGAGGCAGAUUGAACUACCUGCUUUUUCAUGAAUACUUAACAGAAUGAACCAGUCAUUUAUUGCAGAAAGCCUCCUGUGAUGGUUAAUAUUGAGUGUUAACUUGAUUCGGCUGAAAGGAUGCAAAGUAUUGUUCCUGGGUGUGUCUGUGAGGGUGCUGUCAAAGGAGAUUCACAUUUGAGUCAGUGGACUGGGAGAGGCAGACCCACCCUCAGUCUGGGUGGGCACCAUCCCCUUGGCUGCCAGCGUGGUUAGAGAAAGCAGACAGAAGAAAGUGGAAUGAGCAGACUUGCUGAGUCUUCCGGCCUUCAUCUUUCUCCUGUGCUGGAUGCUUCCUGACCUGGAACAUCAGACUCCAAGUUCUUCAGCUUCUGGACUCUUGGACUUACACCAGUGAUUUACCAGGGCGUCUUGGGCUCUUGGGCCUUCAGCCACAGGCAGAAGGCUGCACUGUCAGCUUCCCUACUUUUGAGGUUUUGGGACUUAGACGGGCUUCCUUGCUCCUCAGCUUGCAGAUGGCCUACUGUGGAAUUUCACCUUAUGAUCGCAUGAGUCAAUUCUCCUUAAUAAAUUCCCCUUCGUAUAUACAUCUAUCCUAUUAGUUCUGUCCCUCUAGAGAACUCUGACUAAUACACCUCACAUUCUUCUUUCCCCAAACAGCA